AGCCACGCCGCGUGCAGGAAGACGGCCCUCUGGGUUGUAAACUGCUAAAACUGGGAAGAAAAGAGGCUUUGCGAAGCAAGUUGACGGUACCAGUUGAAUAAGCCACGGCUAACUACGUGCCAGCAGCCGCGGUAAUACGUAGGUGGCGAGCGUUAUCCGGAUUUAUUGGGUUUAAAGGGAGCGUAGGCGGCUGAUUAAGUCAGCGGUGAAAGGUAGCAGCUUAACUGUUUUACAUGCCGUUGAUACUGGUUAGCUUGAGUUGACAGAAGGCAGAUAGAAUUCCUGAUGUAGCGGUGAAAUGCUUAGAUAUCAGGAGGAAUACCGAUUGCGAAGGCAGUCUGCUGCAGUCACACUGACGCUGAGGCUCGAAGGUGCGGGGAUCAAACAGGAUUAGAUACCCUGGUAGUCCGCACAGUAAACGAUGAUUACUAGAUGUUGGCCAAGCCAGUGUCCAAGGGAAACCGAUAAGUAAUCCACCUGGGGAGUACGCCGGCAACGGUGAAACUCAAAGGAAUUGACGGA
rnacentral:rRNA from 1 species